GUCGAGCGGACAGAAGGGAGCUUGCUCCCGGAUGUUAGCGGCGGACGGGUGAGUAACACGUGGGUAACCUGCCUGUAAGACUGGGAUAACUCCGGGAAACCGGAGCUAAUACCGGAUAGUUCCUUGAACCGCAUGGUUCAAGGAUGAAAGACGGUUUCGGCUGUCACUUACAGAUGGACCCGCGGCGCAUUAGCUAGUUGGUGAGGUAACGGCUCACCAAGGCGACGAUGCGUAGCCGACCUGAGAGGGUGAUCGGCCACACUGGGACUGAGACACGGCCCAGACUCCUACGGGAGGCAGCAGUAGGGAAUCUUCCGCAAUGGACGAAAGUCUGACGGAGCAACGCCGCGUGAGUGAUGAAGGUUUUCGGAUCGUAAAGCUCUGUUGUUAGGGAAGAACAAGUGCAAGAGUAACUGCUUGCACCAUGACGGUACCUAACCAGAAAGCCACGGCUAACUACGUGCCAGCAGCCGCGGUAAUACGUAGGUGGCAAGCGUUGUCCGGAAUUAUUGGGCGUAAAGGGCUCGCAGGCGGUUUCUUAAGUCUGAUGUGAAAGCCCCCGGCUCAACCGGGGAGGGUCAUUGGAAACUGGGAAACUUGAGUGCAGAAGAGGAGAGUGGAAUUCCACGUGUAGCGGUGAAAUGCGUAGAGAUGUGGAGGAACACCAGUGGCGAAGGCGACUCUCUGGUCUGUAACUGACGCUGAGGAGCGAAAGCGUGGGGAGCGAACAGGAUUAGAUACCCUGGUAGUCCACGCCGUAAACGAUGAGUGCUAAGUGUUAGGGGGUUUCCGCCCCUUAGUGCUGCAGCUAACGCAUUAAGGCACUCCGCCUGGGGAGUACGGGUCGCAAGACUGAAACUCAAAGGGAAUUGACGGGGGGCCCGCACAAGCGGUGG
rnacentral:rRNA from 1 species